rnacentral:rRNA from 1 species
GUGGGGAAUAUUGGACAAUGGGCGAAAGCCUGAUCCAGCCAUGCCGCGUGUGUGAAGAAGGUCUUCGGAUUGUAAAGCACUUUAAGUUGGGAGGAAGGGCAGUAAGUUAAUACCUUGCUGUUUUGACGUUACCGACAGAAUAAGCACCGGCUAACUUCGUGCCAGCAGCCGCGGUAAUACGAAGGGUGCAAGCGUUAAUCGGAAUUACUGGGCGUAAAGCGCGCGUAGGUGGUUUUGUAAGUUCGAGGUGAAAUCCCCGGGCUCAACCUGGGAACUGCCUCCAAAACUGCAUGACUAGAGUACGGUAGAGGGUAGUGGAAUUUCCUGUGUAGCGGUGAAAUGCGUAGAUAUAGGAAGGAACACCAGUGGCGAAGGCGACUACCUGGACUGAUACUGACACUGAGGUGCGAAAGCGUGGGGAGCAAACAGGAUUAGAAACCCUUGUAGUCC